GGCUCAGAACGAACGCUGGCAGCGUGGAUGAGGCAUGCAAGUCGAACGGUCUUCAGCUAGUAGCAAUAUUGGUUGACGAUAGUGGCGGAAGGGCGAGUAAUGCGAGAGCAAGCUACCCCUCGGACCGGGACAACGUCUGGAAACGGACGCUAAUACCGGAUUCGAAGCGGAACCGAAUGGUUCCGUCUUGAAAGGCGGGGACCCGCAAGGGCCCGUCGCCGAAGGAGGCGCUCCCGUGCCAUCAGCUAGUUGGUGAGGUAAUGGCUCACCAAGGCUUACGGCUAGGUGGACUGAGAGGUUGGUCACCCGCACUGGGACUGAGACACUGCCCAGACUCCUACGGGAGGCUGCAGUCGAGGAUCAUUCGCAAUGGGGGAAACCCUGACGAUGCGGCGCUGCGUGGAGGAUGAAGGCCCUCGGGUCGUAAACUCCUGUCAUAUGGGGCAAGGGCGCGGGCGCUAACAGCGUCUCGCGCUUGAUGGUACCGUAAGAGGAAGCCACGGCUAACUCUGUGCCAGCAGCCGCGGUAAUACAGAGGUGGCGAGCGUUGUUCGGAUUUACUGGGCGUAAAGCGUGCGUAGGCGGUCGCGUAUGUCGGAUGUGAAAUCCCGGGGCUCACCCCCGGAAGUGCAUCCGAAACUGCGCGGCUCGAGGCCGGGAUGGGUGACUGGAACACAUGGUGUAGCGGUGAAAUGCGUUGAUAUCAUGUGGAACACCGGAGGCGAAGGCGAGUCACUGGAACGGAUCUGACGCUGAGGCACGAAAGCGUGGGGAGCAAACAGGAUUAGAUACCCUGGUAGUCCACGCCGUAAACGGUG
rnacentral:rRNA from 1 species